UCAAUGUUUGCAUCUCUCCUCAUAUCCACCACUUGGGGUUAAAUAGGUCUGGUUGCCACCAUGUCCGCAGCUUUUUUUGAGAAAAAUGAUCAAAUAUAUGGAGAUACGGGAAUCAGGAUUCCCACCCGCAGAAAGAAUGCUGGGUAUUGAUGUGAUGGGCCACCCUGCUGCGCCAAUACUACUAUGAAGAGACCCUGCCCAAGAGUCAAAGUGUGUUUCAAACCCAGGUCUGCACCAAAAUGCUGGAUAUAGGCUCUCCUCAAGCGAUGAGGAUUCAUGCUGGUAUCCCGUCUGGCGCCGUGUCUCUAUGGUAGUCUCAUCUAGCUGGAAACUGACAAGUUCCACAAAAAAAUAAAAAAUAAAAACUCCCCAAACAAACAAUUCCCUGCCCCCAAAACCACUCUGCAUUUAUUUCUUUAGUGAUUUCUUUUUUGUUUGUAACUAAAACUGUAAUCCGGAGAAUAAUGUGCGUUUAUUACGGUCGAUUCCCAUCUUAAUGAUAGUUUGAUUUGUGUCUUUUAUUGAAUUGCUAGGUCUGGUUUAAGAGGAAUUUGAUGGAUAUAAAAUGCUGUUUCACCUUAUUUUCUGUGAUGCAUUAAAGCAU